CGGGCACGCUGAAGGAUACUAUUUCAGGCCGACUCGGAGACAAGAAUGUGUUCUUUGCCACGGGAAGAAUGUUCCCUGAGUCAGAGCUGCUCAUCGGUUGACAUUUUCUAACUAAAUGAAGCGUUUCUUGCAAAAAAAAAAGAGGAGAAAACACCCCCAGCUACCCCAACAAUUGAGCACAGUAGUUUUCCAUCACAUUGAUUUAUCAUAAAUUAUUCAUCCAUCCCCCAUGUGAUGCAGACCCCUUAGUUUCCAGU
rnacentral:lncRNA from 1 species